GAUCAUGGCUCAGGAUGAACGCUAGCUACAGGCUUAACACAUGCAAGUCGAGGGGAAACGACAUCGAAAGCUUGCUUUGAUGGGCGUCGACCGGCGCACGGGUGAGUAACGCGUAUCCAACCUGCCCACCACUUGGGGGAUAACCUUGCGAAAGUAAGACUAAUACCCAAUGAUAUCCCACGAAGGCAUCCGAAUGGGAUUAAAGAUUUAUCGGUGAUGGAUGGGGAUGCGUCCGAUUAGCUUGUUGGCGGGGUAACGGCCCACCAAGGCAACGAUCGGUAGGGGUUCUGAGAGGAAGGUCCCCCACAUUGGAACUGAGACACGGUCCAAACUCCUACGGGAGGCAGCAGUGAGGAAUAUUGGGUCAAUGGGCGGAAGCCUGAACCAGCCAUGCCGCGUGAAGGACUAAGGCCCUAUGGGUCGUAAACUUCUUUAGACGCAGAGCAAUAAGGGUCUCGUGAGAUCCGAUGAGAGUAUGCGUAGAAUAAGCAUCGGCUAACUCCGUG
rnacentral:rRNA from 1 species